ACUGGAUCCAGGGACGACUUCACAUUCCAUGUUUUCCCCAAGGAAGGGUAGAGCUAGGAAAAGGAAGGGUGUGGAGAAACACAUUCACUAGGAUGUCUUUGAGCUCUUCUUUACUUUCUGGUUCCUCUAGAAUUCAUCGCUUACCUACCUGAAUUGGUCAGCAUUAUAAAUGAGGUCAAACUUGAUAUAGACACAACCAGGGGUGAAGAUUCAACAGCUGGUGUAUCACAGACACAUGGACCAGAGUCCACCGGAGACAUAUCAUGGGAGGACACACAGACUUUGAAGUCCGUCAUAGAUGAAGAUUCAACAGCUGGUGUAUCCCAGACCCAGGGACCAGAGUUCACCAGAGGCAUAUCCCAGGAGGACACACAGACUUUGAAGCCCAUCAUAGAUGAAGAUUCAACAGCUGGUGUGCCUCAGACCCAUGGACCAAAGUCCACCAGAGACAUAUUCCAGGAGGACACACAGACUUUGAGUAAGUGAAAGCCUUGCCUCAGAGGAGGCCUGGGCUGUCAUAGCUGUCUCCCAGCUCCUGCCUGCCUAAAUGAAAUCCUGUUCUCCUCCAGUGUACUGAAUUCCCACAAUGAAUAGCCACGCCUGUGU
rnacentral:lncRNA from 1 species